UCGAGAAUCAUUCGCAAUGGGCGAAAGCCUGACGAUGCGACGCCGUGUGAGCGAAGAAGGCCUUAGGGUCGUAAAGCUCUUUCGCUUGGGAACAAGAGAGGCUGGAUAAUACCCAGCCAAUUUGAGUGUACUAGGUAAAGAAGCACCGGCUAACUCCGUGCCAGCAGCUGCGGUAAUACGGAGGGUGCAAGCAUUAAUCGGAUUUAUUGGGCGUAAAGGGCGCGUAGGCGGAUAUGAAAGUCAGAUGUGAAAUUCCUGGGCUCAACCUAGGAGCUGCAUUUGAAACUCCAUUGUCUAGAGGGUAGGCGGAGAAAACAGAAUUCCACAAGUAGCGGUGAAAUGCGUAGAUAUGUGGAAGAAUACCGGUGGCGAAGGCGGUUUUCUAGCUUAUUCCUGACGCUGAAGCGCGAAAGCAAGGGGAUCAAACAGGAUUAGAUACCCGGGUAGUCC
rnacentral:rRNA from 1 species